UUGCAGUGGUGAGCACCAACACCUUUAUAGCUUUCGAAUGAUGAAUCAAUGGCGACCAUAUGCAAGCUCAACGAUAUAAGUCCCAGAUUGACGCAUUUUUUUUUUCUUAUCACCCACAUCGAAUUGUGAUGCAGUGACACACAUAUUUAACCUCAAUAAUGAGUGUAAGAACUUAUCAUUGCCUUCGAAUUCUAUCACAAUUAAGUUUUUUUUAAAGAAUUCCAGUUUUUCCAAAAGAAUAUUACUGAAAUCAGAAUUUAAAAUACAUAAUUUGGACUCAACACUAGCAUUGGAAGGUUUCCUGUUGUGUUAAACUCUUUUUCAAAAAAACGUUUCUAUUUUUAUUUUUAUUUCUUUCCAUUUUGCAAUACUGUGUUGCAAAUCAUAUUUAUCAGAAUUCGAAUGGUUAACUUGAAAAUUUGAACAGCUUUCAAGUUGGCUCGUAAGAAAUAU
rnacentral:lncRNA from 1 species